GGCCCAUUAGCUCAGUUGGUUAGAGCGUCGCGCUAAUAACGCAAACGUCGUCGGUUCGAUCCAUCCAUGGGCCA